UCCAGACUCCUACGGGAGGCAGCAGUGGGGGAUAUUGCACAAUGGAGGAAACUCUGAUGCAGCGACGCCGCGUGAGGGAAGACGGUCUUCGGAUUGUAAACCUCUGUCUUUGGGGAAGAAAAUGACGGUACCUGACUAAGAAGCCCCGGCUAACUACGUGCCAGCAGCCGCGGUAAUACGUAGGGGGCAAGCGUUAUCCGGAUUUACUGGGUGUAAAGGGAGCGUAGACGGCAUGGCAAAUCAGAUGUGAAAGCGCGGGGCUCAACCCCGAGACUGCAUUUGAAACUGUCAGGCUGGAGUGCAGGAGAGGUAAGUGGAAUUCCUAGUGUAGCGGUGAAAUGCGUAGAUAUUAGGAGGAACACCAGUGGCGAAGGCGGCUUACUGGACUGUAACUGACGUUGAGGCUCGAAAGCGUGGGGAGCAAACAGGAUUAGAUCCCCCAGUA
rnacentral:rRNA from 1 species